rnacentral:ncRNA from 1 species
CUUUUAAAUAUAUAUAAUUUUAUGAUAAAAAUAAUUAUUUUAAAUAAAUAUUUAUUAAAAUUUAAUAAAUAAAAUUAAAAAUUUAAGAAAUUAAUAUUUAGAAAUUUUAUUAAAUAUAGGUUAAUUUUGUGCCAGCAUCAGCGGUUAAACAAAAUAUAUAAAUUAAUUAUAUUAAUUUAUUAUAAAAAUAUUUAAUUAUUAAUAUUAAUAUAUACAAUUUUUAGAUUAAAUAAAAUUUGUUAAAAUUAUUAUUAAAUUAAAUUAAUUUUAUUUAAGUUAAUACUUCAAUAAACUAGGAUUAGAUACCCUAUUAUUAGUAUAAAAUUUUAUUAAUUAAGUAUUAAAUUUAAAUGUUAAAAUUUAAAAAUUAUGACGGUAUUAUAAUCUAUUUAGAGGAACUUGUAACAUAAUUGAUACUCCACGAUUUGAUAAAUUUAAUAUAAAUUAAUAUUUUUGUAUGUUCGUUAUAAAAAAAUUUAUUAAUAAUUUAAAUUUUUAAAUUUUAUUAAAAUAAAUUAUUUCAGAUCAAUAUGAAAUUAUAUAUUAAAAGUUUUAUGAGUUACUAUUUAUUAAAAUAAAUAUUAUUUAAUUUUUAAAUAAUUAAAUUAAAUGGAUUUAAUAGUAAUAAAUAAAAAUAAUUAUUUAUGAAUCUAGUUUUAUAAUAUGUACAUAUUGCCCGUCACUUCUAGAAAUAGGAUAAGUCGUAACAAAGUAAAUAUACUGGAAAGUGUAUUUAG